AUUGAACGCUGGCGGCGUGCCUAACACAUGCAAGUCGAGCGGUAACAGGUGUAGCAAUACAUGCUGACGAGCGGCGAACGGGUGAGUAAUGCUUCGGAAUCUACCUUAUGGUGGGAAGUAACUAGCCGAAGGUUAGCUAAUACCGCAUACGUCCUACGGAGAAAGACAGGGGAGUCGUAAGACCUUGCGCCAAAAGAAUGAGCCGAAGUCGGAUUAGCUAGUUGGUAGGGUAACGGCCGACCAAGGCGACGAUCCGUAGCUGGUCUGAGAGGACGACCAGCCACACUGGGACUGAGACACGGCCCAGACUCCUACGGGAGGGCAGCAGUGGGGAAGUCUUGCGCAAUGGGCGAAAGCCUGACGCAGCGACGCCGCGUGAGGGAUGACGG
rnacentral:rRNA from 1 species